UAUAUUUGCACGCUGAUAGAAAGUCUAUCAAAUUACAUAAUAAUUAUUGAAAUAAUAUUGGCAUG
rnacentral:ncRNA from 1 species